AUUGAACGCUAGCGGCAUGCUUUACACAUGCAAGUCGAACGAGUGGCGGACGGGUGAGUAAUAUAUCGGAACGUGCCCAAUAGCCGGGGAUAACUACUCGAAAGCGUGGCUAAUACCGCAUACUAUUGUUUCGGCCGAUAUGGGAUUAGCUAGUUGGUGGGGUAAAGGCUAACCAAGGCAACGAUCCGUAGCUGGUUUGAGAGGACGACCGGCCACACUGGGACUGAGACACGGCCCAGACUCCUACGGGAGGCAGCAGUAGGGAAUUUUGGACAAUGGGGGAAAGCCUGAUCCAGCAAUCCCGCGUGUAUGAGAAGGCCUUCGGGUUGUAAAGUACUUUUGUCAGAGAAGCGGUAUCUGAAGAAUAAGCACCGGCUAACUACGUGCCAGCAGCCGCGGUAAUAC
rnacentral:rRNA from 1 species